rnacentral:ncRNA from 37 species
CCCAGUGUUCAGACUACCUGUUC